CUGCUGGGUGCGGUCGCUUGAUAAAAUCGGUUCCCGGCUGCGUGAUCCAAAUUCAUCACCGGUCCAGUACAUCGGACGUAGUGGUACCGUGCGGGCGGGAUUGCCCAUUUCAAGCGUGCAGUGUACAGUUUAAAGUUCGAAUGAAAAGUUCCCGAAAUGAACCAACCAAGCAGCUGAAGGGAAAGCUCUUAGCAUACAAGGAUACCGUAAAUCCGGAGGAAAAGCUUAGCACACUUGGAUCGCUCCUGGAAGGAAACAAAUACAUCUACGUACACAGACACAGACGUACAACGCAGCACGAUGGGCUGUUGUUGCAGUAGCUCCGACUCGCAGGAUAUUACGCCGGUGCCGGAUCGGCCCACCGGAGGAGACUUCCCACCGGCGACCGCUUUCGGUGGCGAUGACACCGGAAGCAAUCCGGCCUUUACCAACGAAAAUGGAUAGCCCUUAAAAAGGCCUGACACCGGAUGCAAAAUUAGGGUACAACAAAGAAAGAAAGAGAGAGAGAGAGAGAGAGAGAGAGAGAGAAAAGAGAGAAAAAGAGAUAUUCGUGUGACGUUUCGCUACAAUAAAUCAUGCUAAUAAAACUGUUGAAAUAAAAA